rnacentral:rRNA from 1 species
AGCGAACGCCGGCGGCAUGCUUAACACAUGCAAGUCGCACGAAGGUUUCGGCCUUAGUGGCGGACGGGUGAGUAGCGCGUAGGAAUCUAUCCAUGGGUGGGGGAUAACACUGGGAAACUGGUGCUAAUACCGCAUGAUACCUGAGGGUCAAAGGCGCAAGUCGCCUGUGGAGGAGCCUGCGUUCGAUUAGCUAGUUGGUGGGGUAAAGGCCUACCAAGGCGAUGAUCGAUAGCUGGUUUGAGAGGAUGAUCAGCCACACUGGGACUGAGACACGGCCCAGACUCCUACGGGAGGCAGCAGUGGGGAAUAUUGGACAAUGGGGGCAACCCUGAUCCAGCAAUGCCGCGUGUGUGAAGAAGGUCUUCGGAUUGUAAAGCACUUUCGACGGGGACGAUGAUGACGGUACCCGUAGAAGAAGCCCCGGCUAACUUCGUGCCAGCAGCCGCGGUAA